AUACGUAGGGUGCGAGCGUUGUCCGGAAUGAUUGGGCGUAAAGGGCGCGUAGGCGGCGCGGUAAGUCUGGAGUGAAAGUCCUGCUUUCAAGGUGGGAAUUGCUUUGGAUACUGCCGCGCUUGAGUGCAGGAGAGGUUAUCGGAAUUCCCGGUGUAGCGGUGAAAUGCGUAGAGAUCGGGAGGAACACCAGUGGCGAAGGCGGGUAACUGGACUGCAACUGACGCUGAGGCGCGAAAGUGUGGGGAGCAAACAGGAUUAGAUACCCUGGUAGUCCACACUGUAAACGAUGAAUGCUAGGUGUAAGAGGUAUCGACCCCUUUUGUGCCGGAGUCAACACAAUAAGCAUUCCGCCUGGGGAGUACGGCCGCAAGGUUGAAACUCAAAGGAAUUGACGGGG
rnacentral:rRNA from 1 species